GUAGCAAGUAAUCGAAUUGGGUUGGUUGCCAUGGCCGUCCGGUCAUAGGAGAAAAGUAGGGUUUAAAGGCCCUCUCUUCCCAUUCGAUGGGGUCUCCUAUGGUGGUAGGGGUGUCGCUGUAAUUAUAUCCCAUACAGAUGAAGCAGUGAAAAGACUUAAUUGUAAAGGUUUAAUUGUAAAAUUUAUCAUAAAUAUGUUAGAUUAGAUCUAAAGGAAUAUUCAUGAUUUAUUUUGAUUGAGUUAUUUUUUGUUAUGUAAUUA
rnacentral:lncRNA from 1 species